rnacentral:snoRNA from 1 species
UGUGUAGCCCAGGCUGGCUGCAAACGUGUCUUGUGGCUGCACAUUGUUGGAAACGCUUCAUAGAUUAUCUGUGGUUCUGGUUUGCUCAUAGAUCUAUUUCUUAGGCCUGGGAGAAGGCACUAUAGGACAGCA